CCAAAAAAAUUGAAAUCGACGUCGACUCAAAAUACAUUUACUUACGGAGAUAUUCGAGUGACGAGUGUGAGAAACUGUUGGAUAUCAUUGCGGCAGAUACUGUUUUGCAUACUGGAUAGUGGUAAUC
rnacentral:ribozyme from 1 species